rnacentral:rRNA from 1 species
UACGUAGGGUGCGAGCGUUAAUCGGAAUUACUGGGCGUAAAGCGUGCGCAGGCGGCGCGUUAAGACAGGUGUGAAAGCCCCGAGCUUAACUUGGGAAUUGCGCUUGUGACUGGCGUGCUGGAGUGUGGCAGAGGGAGGUGGAAUUCCACGUGUAGCAGUGAAAUGCGUAGAGAUGUGGAGGAGCACCGAUGGCGAAGGCAGCCUCCUGGGCCAGCACUGACGCUGAUGCACGAAAGCGUGGGGAGCAAACAGG